CAGCAGCCACGGUAAUACGGAGGGUGCAAGCGUUAAUCGGAAUUACUGGGCGUAAAGCGUGCGUAGGCGGUUCGUUAAGUCUGUUGUGAAAGCCCCGGGCUCAACCUGGGAAUGGCAAUGGAUACUGGCGAGCUAGAGUGUGUCAGAGGAUGGUGGAAUUCCCGGUGUAGCGGUGAAGUGCGUAGAGAUCGGGAGGAACAUCAGUGGCGAAGGCGGCCAUCAGGGACAACACUGACGCUGAGGCACGAAAGCGUGGGGAGCAAACAGGAUUAGAUACCCCUGUAGUCCCUGUCUCUUAUAC
rnacentral:rRNA from 1 species